rnacentral:tRNA from 1 species
GGGGAUAUAGCUCAGUUGGUAGAGCGCUUGCAUGGCAUGCAAGAGGUCAACGGUUCGAUCCCGUUUAUCUCCACCA